UCCAUAUAUGUUUUUGAUUGCUUUGUGGCUGGGGGAAUAUUGUGAAUGCUUUUAUUGAGCUUCAUGAUUGGGUUGCUUCUAGCUCCUCUGGAUCCAUAAGGGAUUGCAUUCUACUUGGAGCUUGUGAAGCACAUGAGACUCUUCCACAAAGUGCUGAAUUUCCUACAGAUGUGUUUACGUCUUGUCUCACAACACCUAUUAAGAUGGCUUUGAGAUGGUGAGCUUCUUUUCUUGUUCGUCUGUUAGGAUCGCCUAUCGCGUUUAUGCAUCUUUAUUUGAGAUCAUGUAGUUUUCUGGUUUUGCCUUGUGGUGUUUAUUCCAUAUUGGCUGCUUCCUAGUUAUUUUUAGUUUGUCAACUGAAAGUCUUUUAGCUGUGCUAUUUGUUUAAAGCUGUAGGAAGUUAGAAAUGGCAUGGUAUUUAAAACACAGAGAAAUCAAUCCUUAUUCCUAAAUCCAACUUGACUGAUGCCUUGUGACGUGAUUGGCUUGAAUAGAUGCUUUGAAAUAUACACAAGUUAGCUAAUCUCUGCCUCUAUUUUGGGCAGUGAAUGCUUUUUCUUAUGAGACUAAAUUUUUUUUUGUUGUAUUUUAAGUUGUGGAUAAUAAUUGGUUUUUAUUUUUUAAGAUAACAAUUGGUUUUUGUGUUGUGGAUCAUUAGAUCUUUUUUAUUAACAUAAGGAUGUAAUAUUUGCUUCUACAUUUACUAUCAUUCUAGUCAUAGAAAUUUAGUAUAGUUGAGUUACAAGUUUAAUUGUUUUGCACCUAUAAGGGCUCUAUAGCCCAUGCUUGCAAACUAGAAGUGACAUCAGGGAAAUAGUGUUUGAAGUGUUUGUUGAUAAGGAAGUUUUAUACUGUAUUUAAGAUGAAUCUGAAUCUACUUUUCAUGAGGCUUUUCUUAGUCAUCUUAUGGAAACUGGUGCAAUAGAAAGUUCAUCUUUAUGUGACCUUCCUAAACAGAUGGAAGGUGAUCAACAGAGAGCCUCUGAACAGACUAAGAACAUCUUCAGUAAUUUAGUUGCUGCUGUUGACAAUUUGUGGUAUCUAAAAGAUGGAAUACAUACUGUAGUCUUGAAAAAACUUUCAGAAAAUGGUAAGAGCUAUGUGGGUUUUACAGUUUUAUUUUUGUAUGAUACUUCAAGCACUGAUCUGUAGACUUAUCUCAGUUUUUGGUGGAUCCUACUCCAUUUUCUAGGAUCUUGCAGGCAAAGGACACCAAGUGAAUUAGAUAGAGAGGUUAAGAACUUGAGGGUGACAUUUACUGACCUGUUUUUGAAGCAUAACACUUUCAAAGAAACUGCAAAGCCAUCGAGAUAUUGAUGCAAAGAAUAAAGCCGAGCUUAGAAUAUUAAGAGGUAACUCCUAGUGAGCGGAGAGAAGGCACUUCAACUUGGAUUGCAAGUAAUUGCAAAGAUUAAGGGCUAUGCUGAUGCAGCUCAGGCACCUGAAUUCUUUACAACUGCUCCAGCCCUUGUGAUACCAAAAGCUAUUUCAAAUGUUGGUUUAGAUGCUUCUCAGAUUGAUUACUAUGAAAUAAAUGAAGCAUUUUCUGUAAGAUUUUAGUACUUGUAAUCCCUAUAAUGUUCCUGAUUUAGUAAGCAUUUUUUUUUCAUUCA